UGGCGAUGAUUACAAACUAUCCGCGCUUCUGAGAUCAAACGCUGAAGCACAAAAAGAUAAUGGUUGAAUUUCUUGACAUGAGCCA
rfam:Selaginella moellendorffii unplaced genomic scaffold SELMOscaffold_57, whole genome shotgun sequence.